rnacentral:lncRNA from 1 species
AUUGGUUGAUUGAAGGUUUGUGAUCAUGAUUGAUCAAUCAAUCAAUUGAUCGAUCGUUUGAUUGAUUGAUUGAUCGAAUGAUUGACAGUUCGUAAAAAUAGCGAUGGGACGUUUAUUUCGAAUUCUGCACUUGAUUGAUAUCAACACUUGAUUGAUUGAUCGAUCUCUAAUCAUGAUUUGAUCAAUGUGAUCAUGAUUUGAUCACUCUGAUCAUGAUUUGAUUGAUUGAUUGAUUGAUCGAUUGAUCGAUACGUUGUAUUGCCUAAAAUGACACAUUUUGCAUAGGUUUAUUUAUUGUCUAUACGUUUCAUACUGUUCAGUGACAAAUAUCUGACGCACAAUUUUGCAUGUAGUAUUGAGAAAAAUACUCUAUUUGCUUUUCUUACAUCCGAAAAAAAAAAAAGAAUUGCGAAUGAGUUAUUAUAACACUAGAUUUGCUAUUGCAAGCAAUAGCGGACGAUGGCACCCCGUACUGCACAUUGUCACAGUAGCAUCAACAAUUAUGAGUGUACAAAAGUCAAAUGGCAUAUCUAUUAUACAUGUCGGAAUCAGCAUGUCUAAACACCCCCCCCCCUUUUUUUUUUCUCUUCCGUAGAAUACGUUUCAGUUCUAUACAUAGUUUGGGAAUCCUUUUUAAAUCUAAAAUUAGACACGCGCGCAAGUAGGAAGGUGGUGUCACGUGAUACUGAAGUAUAUUAUCGUGGACUUAGCAUAUUAAUAUUCUUUUUAGAGGGGACGUAGGACAGACAACAUGUGUAUAUAUUGACGGAGCGGCGUAUUAACUGUUCAAUUUAUUCUUCAAUAGCUCGCGUAUCAUACAAUACAUGUAACUUAUCGUGUACAAUUUAAUUACAUGUUUAUCGAUUGAUUUCAGCUAAUGUGUAUAUUUUAGCAGGUGUGUCAUUCACGGAUAUGUACUUUAACGCAAGUGCAGAAAUGUCAGUAAUUUGUACUCUGAGUGUUUCUCGUUCUCUCGGUGGCGAUUUUCUCUUUAAAGCACAUUAAAUAAAAUACAUAUUUUUAUUCUAGAAUAUUCUAGUACAUGUUAGCAGUACAGCAAUUGCAUGUGACCAUUUGCACACACUCCUAAUUACGAUUUCCGUGGAAUUGUUGUUAUAUUUUUCAAGAAAAUGCAGCUAAAACGCAUUUUCCCAUAGGGUCAAUGUUAAACUUUUGUCUAGUUUCCAUGGCAAUGGCAGCCAUUUUGAAAAUUCCAAGUACUGUUGGUACCUCGGGGCACCACUGCCAACAUUUACAUAAACUUUCAAGACUUUGCCUCUUAUAACGAAAGAUUUAAAAUUUGGAUUUUUUUUUACAUUUUUUUUGUUUCCAUGGUAACGGCGGCCAUUUUUUACCAUUCCAAUGUCUCUUGCACAACUUCACAUGGCGGUUCAUAUUAUGGUAUAGUUCCAUCAACAUGGGUCUGACCAAUUACGAGAAAUAGCGUGGACAAAAUGUGUGGAAGAAUAAAAAUAAAAAGAAAAAAAAGAAACGUAGAAUAACAAGAUGUCACCCCAACUCCGUUGAGGGUGCCAUAAUGAUACGCGAAGCGAAUUAAAGGUUUUUUCUUUCAUGAAUUCAACGGAGAAGAUACGUGUAUUGGUUGAUUGAAGGUUUGUGAUCAUGAUUGAUCAAUCAAUCAAUUGAUCGAUCGUUUGAUUGAUUGAUUGAUCGAAUGAUUGACAGUUCGUAAAAAUAGCGAUGGGACGUUUAUUUCGGAUUCUGCACUUGAUUGAUAUCAACACUUGAUUGAUUGAUCGAUCUCUAAUCAUGAUUUGAUCAAUGUGAUCAUGAUUUGAUCACUCUGAUCAUGAUUUGAUUGAUUGAUUGAUUGAUGAUUGAUCAAUACGUUGUAUUGCCUAAAAUGACACAUUUUGCAUAGGUUUAUUUAUUGUCUAUACGUUUCAUACUGUUCAGUGACAAAUAUCUGACGCACAAUUUUGCAUGUAGUAUUGAGAAAAAUACUCUAUUUGCUUUUCUUGCAUCCGAAAAAAUGGAUUGCGAAUGAGUUAUUCUAACACUAGAUUUGCUAUUGGAAGCAAUAGCGGAGGAUGGCACCCCGUACUGGACAUUGUCACAGUAGCAUCAACAAUUAUAAGUGUACAAAAGUCAAAUGGCAUAUCUGUUAUACAUGUCGGAAUCAGCAUUUCUAAAUCGUCAGCAUACACCUUCACACAACAGCAUUGUUCAAUAGUAGACACAUAUGUACGAGCAAUUUAAUUACUGUUCAUUCUAAUGUGUAUUACAGUAACUUUCUUCGUGCAUUGCAUUUCAGUUUUGUUUUGUGUGUCAUUCAUUGUAUUUAAAAGCAAAAUGUCAGCUUAAAAAUGCAUUUUUCCCAUAGGGUCAAUGUUAAACUUUUGUCCAGUUUCCAUGGCAAUGGCAGCCAUUUUGAAAAUUCCAAGUACUGUUGGUACCUCGGGCCACCACUGCCAACAUUUACUCAAACUUUCAAGACUUUGCCUCUUACAACGAAAGAUUUAAAAUUUGGAUUUUUUUUUACACUUUUGUAGUUUCCAUGGUAACGGCGGCCAUUGUUUACCAUUCCAAUGUCUAAUGCACAACUUCACAUGGCGGUUCACAUUAUGGUAUAGUUCCAUCAACAUGGGUCUGACCAAUUACGAGAAAUAGCGUGGACAAAAUGUGUGGAAGAAUAAAAAUAAAAAGAAAAAAAAGAAACGUAGAAUAACAAUAUGUCACCCCAACUCCGUUGAGGGUGCCAUAAAAAAAAAGAAACGUAGAAUAACAAUAUGUCACCCCAACUCCGUUGAGGGUGCCAUAAUGAUACGCGAAGCGAAUUAAAGGUUUUUUCUUUCAUGAAUUCAACGGAGAAGAUACGUGUAUUGGUUGAUUGAAGGUUUGUGAUCAUGAUUGAUCAAUCAAUCAAUUGAUUGAU